AUACUGUGCAUUGGUCCAUAUUGUCAUUAAUGAAGCAGUGAUUACAGUAAGAUAGUCACAGCGGAACGCACAGGGCACACGAUCCAAGGGGCACCAUCGGGGGCCACUCCCCAAAGGUCGUCUAGAGGUGCUGAAGUUCCCCGAGAUAAAGCAGGAAAACAGAAACGGAAAGGUCCAGGGGCAGAAGAUUCUGGGAACAAUCAGGACUAACAUUUCCAGGGUCCUCAACUUUGUCAACAACUCGUCAGGCAUCUAUGACUUGAUGCUACUUUCCAGUCAUUUCUUAGAACCACAGAGUUCCAGUGGCUCUAGGAUAUCCUGGCUGGACCAGACCUUCACAGCCUUCUUCCUCGGUCAAAUCUCGGACACCAUUUACCCAGAGCAGUCCAGUCCUGAAGGGAUUAUGGUGAGAUCACGAUCAUGGAUCCUGGGGCUGGAAGAAAUCUUACUGUUCAUCUAGAUUCUAGUCCCUUAUUUGAAGGCGAGGAGACAGGCAGAAGCACAAUGGUUGGCUUUUGUUAAACACCGAAAAGAUUCUACUCCUCUGGAAGUUUGUGGUUCCUCAAAAUUUCAGGGAGGAGCCUCCCACAGUGGCAGACCGUGCAGCACCC
rnacentral:lncRNA from 1 species